rnacentral:rRNA from 1 species
UACGAAGGGGGCUAGCGUUGCUCGGAAUUACUGGGCGUAAAGGGAGCGUAGGCGGUUAGUUUAGUCAGAGGUGAAAGCCCAGGGCUCAACCUUGGAAUUGCCUUUGAUACUGGCUAUCUUGAGUACGGAAGAGGUAUGUGGAACUCCGAGUGUAGAGGUGAAAUUCGUAGAUAUUCGGAAGAACACCAGUGGCGAAGGCGACAUACUGGUCCGUUACUGACGCUGAGGCUCGAAAGCGUGGGGAGCAAACAGG